rnacentral:ncRNA from 1 species
GAGGGUUGGCCCCUCGGAGUCGCCGUUCAGGCGGAGGUUCCAAACCGCCAUGAGCUGCUGCGGUGAAUGAGCCGUGGUGGUGAGCGUCAUGGAUACGUCACCGGAAGAGGUGGCAGGU